rnacentral:rRNA from 1 species
AUUGAACGCUGGCGGCAGGCCUAACACAUGCAAGUCGGACGGUAGCACAGAGAGCUUGCUCUCGGGUGACGAGUGGCGGACGGGUGAGUAAUGUCUGGGGAUCUGCCCGAUAGAGGGGGAUAACCACUGGAAACGGUGGCUAAUACCGCAUAACGUCGCAAGACCAAAGAGGGGGACCUUCGGGCCUCUCACUAUCGGAUGAACCCAGAUGGGGUUAGCUAGUAGGCGGGUUAACGGCCCCCCUAGGCGACGAUCCCUAGCUGGUCUGAGAGGAUGACCAGCCACACUGGAACUGAGACAAGGUCGAGACUCCGACGGGAGGCAGCAGUGGGGAAUAUUGCACAAUGGGCGAAAGCCUGAUGCAGCCAUGCCGCGUGUAUGAAGAAGGCCUUCGGGUUGUAAAGUACUUUCAGCGGGGAGGAAGGCGAUGUGGUUAAUAACCGCAUUGAUUGACGUUACCCGCAGAAGAAGCACCGGCUAACUCCGUGCCAGCCGCCGCGGUAA